UACGUAGGGUGCGAGCGUUAAUCGGAAUUACUGGGCGUAAAGCGUGCGCAGGCGGCUUUGCAAGACAGAUGUGAAAUCCCCGGGCUCAACCUGGGAACUGCAUUUGUGACUGCAAGGCUAGAGUACGGCAGAGGGGGAUGGAAUUCCGCGUGUAGCAGUGAAAUGCGUAGAUAUGCGGAGGAACACCAAUGGCGAAGGCAAUCCCCUGGGCCUGUACUGACACUGAGGUGCGAAAGCAUGGGGAGCAAACAGG
rnacentral:rRNA from 1 species